CGCAUCUGUGCAUGCAGCAUAUCAAUAAGCGGAGGAAAAGAAACUAACAAGGAUUCCCUCAGUAACGGCGAGUGAAGCGGGAGAGCUCAAAUUUGAAAUCUUGAAAGGUCACCUUUCACGAAUUGUAGUUUAAAGAAGUGUUUUCUGUUACGAUCGUAAUAUAAGUUCUUUGGAAUAGGACAUCACAGAGGGUGAGAAUCCCGUCUAUGAUUGCGAUUUGUAGCUUUGUGAUACACUUUCAAAGAGUCGGGUUGUUUGGGAAUGCAGCCCAAAACGGGAGGUAAAUUUCUUCUAAGGCUAAAUAUUGGCGAGAGACCGAUAGCGAACAAGUAACCGUGAGGGAAAGAUGAAAAGAACUUUGAAAAGAGAGUUAAAUAGUACGUGAAAUUGUCAAAAGGGAAGCGUUUAACACCAGUGUUGUUUUCUGAAAAUCAACCUCUGUUAGCUUUAUGCAUGUUUGUUUAGACCUAAUCAGCUAUCUUUCAUGUUCUAUUGUUUGCAGUGGUGCACUUUUCAGUUUACAGGUCAACAUCAGUUUUUUUUACCGUAAAAAAGUUAAAGAAAGGUAGCUCAUGGCUCCGGUCGUGAGUGUUAUAGUCUUUUUCCUAUGCGGUAGGAGAGGACUGAGGGUCUGCAGUGUAGGCUAUUUGGCUAGAUACUCAGGUGCUAUGUGAUACCAUUUCAUAAACAACUUGUUGAUUAUGUUUUGUCUAUUGCAUACUCGCUUGUACUAUCAUACCUACGCUUAGGAUGUUGACGAUAGCUGAGCGCG
rnacentral:rRNA from 1 species